GCAUGCAUUCCUGAAGCAUGUUUCACUAACAAAACCUAAAAGAUGGAUGUGAUGGGGAAAGACAGUGCUAUACUAGAGCAGAGGAUGGGUCGUUUCCAUCUGCCCUGGGGCCAGUCUCUACAACUCUGCCACACUC